rnacentral:ncRNA from 18 species
CCUUUCAAAAGGAAAAUAGGUACACGAACAUUUCGUUUCGUGUUUAAAAGGGAAGCUUGGUGAAACUCCAACACGGUCCCGCCACUGUAAAUGCUGAGAUUUCUUUUUGAUACCACUGUGAAAACGGGAAGGUAAAAGAAAUUAUAUGAAGCAUAAGUCAGGAGACCUGCCUGUUUUAACAACACUGAU